rnacentral:rRNA from 1 species
AGUGAACGCUGGCGGUAGGCCUAACACAUGCAAGUCGAACGGUAGCACAGUAAGAGCUUGCUCUUACGGGUGGCGAGUGGCGGACGGGUGAGGAAUACAUCGGAAUCUACUUUUUCGUGGGGGAUAACGAAGGGAAACUUACGCUAAUACCGCAUACGACCUACGGGUGAAAGCAGGGGAUCUUCGGACCUUGCGUGAAUGAAUGCGCCGAUGUCGUAUUAGCUAGUUGGCGGGGUAAAGGCCCACCAAGGCGACGAUCCGUAGCUGGUCUGAGAGGAGGAUCAGCCACACUGGAACUGAGACACGGUCCAGACUCCUACGGGAGGCAGCAGUGGGGAAUAGUGGACGAUGGGCGCAAGCCUGAUCCAGCCAUACCGCGUGGGUGAAGAAGGCCUUCGGGUUGUAAAGCCCUUUUGUUGUGAAAGAAAAGCAGCAGGUUAAUACCCCGCUGUUCUGACGGUACCCAAAGAAUAAGCACCGGCUAACUUCGUG